GGGAAUAUUGCGCAAUGGGCGAAAGCCUGACGCAGCGACGCCGUGUGGGUGGUGAAGGCCUUUGGGUCGUAAAGCCCUGUCAGAGGGGAAGAAAUCUUACCGGUCCAAUACACCGGUGACUUGACUGUACCCUCAGAGGAAGCACCGGCUAACUCCGUGCCAGCAGCCGCGGUAAUACGGAGGGUGCGAGCGUUAUCCGGAAUUACUGGGUUUAAAGGGUGCGUAGGCGGCUAUGUAAGUCAGGAGUGAAAGUUUGCGGCUCAACCGUAAAAUUGCUUUUGAUACUGCAUGGCUGGAAUCAGGAUGAGGUCAGCGGAAUGUGGCAUGUAGCGGUGAAAUGCAUAGAUAUGCCAUAGAACACCAAUUGCGAAGGCAGCUGACUAGACCUGUAUUGACGCUGAGGCACGAAAGCGUGGGGAGCGAA
rnacentral:rRNA from 1 species